rnacentral:rRNA from 1 species
CAAAAACCGGUCCCAGUUCGGACUGCAGGCUGCAACCCGCCUGCACGAAGCCGGAGUUGCUAGUAAUCGCGAAUCAGAAUGUCGCGGUGAAUGCGUUCCCGGGUCUUGUACACACCGCCCGUCACACCAUGGAAGUUGGGGUGCCCAAAGCCGGCAAGCAAAUAUGCUGUCUAAGGCAAAACCAAUGACUGGGGUGAAGUCGUAACAAGGUAAC